rnacentral:tRNA from 1 species
GGGGGUGUAGCUCAGCUGGGAGAGCGCUUGAAUGGCAUUCAAGAGGUCAGGGGUUCGAUCCCCCUCAUCUCCA